GUAGGUGAACCUGCGGAAGGAUCAUUCACACAAUCCAAACAAACCUAAACUAAUCCUAGUUUGUGUUAGAGUCUUCGGAUUCUAGCAUAGUUAAACCUAUCCAAAGGAAUUUAACUGAUAGCUUCCACAAAUUACAUUUUCAACAGUGGAUGUCUAGGCUUCCAUAUCGAUGAAGAGCGCAGCAAAGUGCGAUAAGCAAUGCGAAUUGCAGACUGUGAGUCAUUAGGAUCUUGAACGUAACUUGCGCCGGCCUUUGGUCGGCAUGCUUGCUUCAGUGUAUCUUUAGUCAAUGAACUAAAUCUUAAUGCAAUUGAGUACUAGUACUCUCUUGUUAAAUACGAAAGCACGCUGUUUUUACAGGUAGUCCUCGGACUACGCUCAAUGCAGCCGUCACUUUUAGUGAACUCAUUGGGAGUAAGGACAAGCAGGUCUCGGCCAGCGAGUGCUUAGAGUUUAGUAACUCUUUUUUAUCUGAAGUCAAGUGAGGGUACCCGCUGAACUUAAGCAUAUCAGUA
rnacentral:rRNA from 1 species